AUUGAACGCUGGCGGCAUGCCUUACACAUGCAAGUCGAACGGCAGCAUAGGAGCUUGCUCCUGAUGGCGAGUGGCGAACGGGUGAGUAAUAUAUCGGAACGUGCCCUAGAGUGGGGGAUAACUAGUCGAAAGACUAGCUAAUACCGCAUACGAUCUACGGAUGAAAGUGGGGGAUCGCAAGACCUCAUGCUCCUGGAGCGGCCGAUAUCUGAUUAGCUAGUUGGAGGGGUAAAAGCCUACCAAGGCAACGAUCAGUAGCUGGUCUGAGAGGACGACCAGACACACUGGGACUGAGACACGGGCCAGAAUCCGACGGGAGGCAGCAGUGGGUGAUUUUGUACAAUGGGGGCAACCCUGAUCCAGCAAUGCCGCGUGAGUGAAGAAGGCCUUCGGGUUGUAAAGCUCUUUUGUCAGGGAAGAAACGGUAGUAGCGAAUAACUACUACUAAUGACGGUACCUGAAGAAUAAGCACCGGCUAACUACGUGCCAGCCGCCGCGGUAA
rnacentral:rRNA from 1 species